UACGAAGGGUGCAAGCGUUAAUCGGAAUUACUGGGCGUAAAGCGUGCGCAGGCGGUUCGCUAAGACCGAUGUGAAAUCCCCGGGCUUAACCUGGGAACUGCAUUGGUGACUGGCAGGCUUUGAGUGUGGCAGAGGGAGGUAGAAUUCCACGUGUAGCAGUGAAAUGCGUAGAGAUGUGGAGGAAUACCGAUGGCGAAGGCAGCCUCCUGGGCCAACACUGACGCUCAUGCACGAAAGCGUGGGGAGCAAACAGG
rnacentral:rRNA from 1 species